AUUAAGGUGGCAGAGAUGGCAAUUGCAUAAAACUUAAGCCUUUAUUAUCAGAGGUUCAAAUCCUCUCCUUAAUA
rnacentral:tRNA from 1 species